UCCUUAUGCUUUAUACUCAUGCUCCUGAUACAAAAACAUAAAAACUGCAACACUAUCCGGGCACACCAUCAGAGCACAACUAUCCUAUCCCAACACAAAAUGAAACCAGUUUUAUUAACACCAAGGUUGAAUGAGAAGUAGGAUGUAUGACCAGCUUUAUUCCAAGUCUGAACGGAAGUAAUAAACCUAAAUGACAGAUUACAUCAAAGCAGUCACAAUUUCUACAACUAUCACGGUCAGAAUACAUCAAAAACCUGAAUGUAAGGAAUCAGAGUAAGGCUGAACUUCUUAGAUAUAAACAAGAGGAAGAUCGAUAGAACCAGAAUAUGUUUAAAAAAGAUCACACUUCUCCUGCGACACGGAAGAAUAAACAACAAAUAAAGAUAUAUAUAUGUUGAUAAAAGAAAUUUUUAAAAUGAAAAGAAUUAAAUAGUUAUCACCAAAUCAAAAUGCUAGGUUCCAUGCCACGAAGCAGGUUAUUAGUGUGACAAACCAUGCUGCAGGAAAACAUGUUCAAAAUUCAAUUCGUAUGUCUUGCAAUUGAAGCCCAGAAAUUAAAAUAAUAAACAAUGGCUCAAUGAAGAAAUUUGAUUUUUAUCUAUCGGGGCUGUUGUUCUUUUCCGGUGUAUGAAACGUUCUAGAUAAUGAAGAUUUCACAGACUGCAAAAGAUGGAUAAAUGCAUCACCAGGUUAUCAAAUGAAGAAUAAUAUCCCAAACAAGUUUUGAUAACCAAUCCGUAAAAGAAGAGUCAAAAUAAGUGUUAAAAUUCAUGAUAUCUACAAUCUGAGUGGAACAUGUUAAGAAGAGUCUCUAAUGCUCACGUUGCGAGCAGCAGAACCCUUAACAUCAAACCCUGAAAUCAAGCAAUCACAGAAGCAAACAAUACGGCCGACAAGUUAAAAAAUCAAGUAACAAAAGAAAGCAUGAACAAAAUAAACAAACAAACUUCAUAAUCAAGAAAUCAAAAGCAUAUCCUCUCAUGUAAUAAUUUAACAAUUCAAGAAACAUUUGUUCUUAGAAUCAACCAGAUUGAAAAAAAAGGAUUUACUUAUCACCAAAUCAAAACUUGAGGCUCUAUGCUGUGAAGGAUAUUAUUAUUUUGACAAACCACGCUGCAGUCUAAACCAACAAAAAUCAUGAAACCGAAAGAAUCAAUCAAAAAUGAAUAAGAAUGCAAAACAUGAAAGACCAAACAAGAGGAAGAUCCAUAUAACCAGAAGAAAUCGUAUGUUACGAAAUUACUUUUCCUACAAGACCAAAGAGGGUAAAAACAGGUCAAGAAAUACAUGAUCUCAGAGACGAUAAAGAAUUUUUAAAAAUGAAAAGAAUUUAAUACAGAUCACCAAAUCAAAACGCUAGGCUCCAUGCAUCAAGCAGGUAAUAGUUUAACAAACCACGCAGCAAGAAAACAUGUUGAAAAUUCAAUUUGCAUGCCUUGCAGUAAAAACCCAGAAAUUAAAGUAAUAAAGAACGAAUCACUGAAUAAAUUGAUUUAUCUAUCUGGAGCCAAAUGUAUGCUGAUUAAAUAAUGAAGUUCAUGAUUCAAUUUUUAUUUAUAGCAUUAAAAGAACAAACACCAAGAUUAACUUCACAAACAUGAACCCGGAAAUGAAAAAGAAUACAAAAUUAUUGGAAGAAAGAUAGAGCAAGAAGAAAGCGUAUUUAUUUCUCCUGAAAAACCAAAGAGGUCACCGAAUCAAAAAAAUAUUAACUGAUUUAAUAGUAUACAUUAAAAAUAAUGAAGAAAUUUAGAAAAGAAAAAUGAUUUAACAGACAUCACCAAAUCAAAUCCACGCUUAGUUUGACCAAACACGCUGCAGAAUAAUUAAGGACAUGAUUAAGGACAUGUUUAAAAUUCAAUUUUUUACACCGCACAUUACAUGUUGAUUAUUAUCUCUAUUGUUCGUGCUCAAUAGAAGUGAUCUUACUGAAGUUCUCAAGAGUAAUUUCCAAUAAAGAAAGUUUAUACUCUAGUUAACACUGGCAGGUCAAACAACCAAAAUAUAACUUUCAAAAUACAUUAAGCAUUCCUAAGCUAGAAGCAGGCCUGCUUUGUGGACUAAUGAGAAACAAUAAACUCCGCACAUUUGGUAUAUUCCACUAUUGUGCUUGUUCUUGAUAGAAAGAAUGCAGGACACGCAUAAAUAGUAAGAAAUAACUGGUUUUGUCCAAAAUAGGACGCUCUAUCAUGUUAUUCACACAAGCUUUUCACAAUCCACGUAUAUUUGCAAUGAACGAGAUAAAAUUACAAAGAACCAAUCCAAGUAGAAUUCACCUUGAAGCCCGGUGCCCUCAGAAAUAUCCACUUAGAGAACCGAUUUAUUCUUAUGAACACCCAAGCUCCCCAAAUAAAGACCACACAAGCUGUCCAAAACAGAUUACAGAUACAGGUAGGUCAAACCAUAAGAGAAUAACUACUCCACUGACAAAGAUACAAAUUUGGGACAGAAGAUUCUUAUUCUUAUAUAAUAACUAGAAAAGAUGGGAGACUACCAGAGUACAACACCAAAACAAGUCAUAUACUCUAGAAUCUUGUAUGCUUCAGUAUUCAUGCUCCUCAUGCAAAAACACAUAUAUCCAGCACUAGCAUGAGACAUAUCAAAGGAAAAAUAUCCCCUAAUGUCGUAACAUAACAGAUAUGUAAAAAAUCAUUAACCUUCAGUUUCCACAGGUCACAGCACACCAUAUAUUCAUAGUCGGUCUCCCCUGUAACACCCAUAGAUAUCAAAAGAAUUGAAAAAAGAUGUAAUUGAAAAGAAAAAUAGAUUCACAAUCCAAUCUUCAUGUCUUAAAAACAAAGCAAUAAUCUUAAAAAGUAAAGAACGACUCAUUGGAGUGAUCUGAUAUAUCUGGACUCUCCAAACAUUGUAGAUAUUCAAACUUUAGCCCUCUGCAAAACAGAGGUGUAUAUCUUGAUUAUCCAAGAAAGAGAUGGACAGUAUCAUAAAUAUUGCCAAAGCUCUCAUAAUAUCUAGAUUCAUAAUUCUAGACAUUGCCACAUCACAAGGACACCUAUACAUGAACAAGUACAUUCAAGGCAAGAAAAUGACCGGUGAAAUCCAAGGGUCUGCAGCUUUAACAUCACAGUACAUCAUCUCCCCUGUAACACAAGCCAAGAAAAUUUCACAACAAAAAACCCCAGUUACAAACACAUGGAGUUGGGUAGGAAUGAGAGAAAACUACAUCCACAAAAGACAAGGAAACGUUAAGAAAUCACUGUCAAAGUAGAGAUAACGAAAUGAAAGCUUAACAACGGCAGAUUCUGGUGAUCCAUUAAGCUCUCCCCCCUAAAAACCAAGUCCUUGUAUAUAACCAAUUGCAGAAUCUGUGAGGCAUAACCAUUUUGGAGAGAAGAUUCUUAGCCUUAUGUAUAUAUACCACAAACCGCAGGAAAAUAGAAAACGAAUUAUAGUAGAGGAAAAGACAAAUCAACAAUUAAAGUAUUGAAGUGCCAAACCAGUCCAGAAUGCUUAUAUGCUUCAUACUCUCAUGAGACAGAACCACAAAAACUCAGACACUUGCAAGAAACCAUCAGAGGACCCGAUAUCCCAAAUCCCAAUAUAAAACAGACUGUGGUUAUUUUAAGAUACAUUACGCUCCAGAAAACAGGUUUUAAUACACAAUCCCACCAGGAAUGAAACUCAAUUGGCAACAUCCAAAACAGAAAAUUCAUAUCAGAACUCCAGUCAUCUUUCCAAGUUCCGCAAAACAUUACUAUUUCCUAUUACUCAUAUAGCAAUACCAUAAAUGCAAAACAACAUCGGUCUACCAAGAAUAAUGUUAGUUGUAACAGAGGAAUUCAAGAACAAUUAAUCAAUUGUAACUGCAAAAGUUAAGAUACCGAAUAAUUAAUCACAAAGAAUAAGAAUACAACACAUGAGGAUCAAACAAGAGAAUGUCACAGAUUAUUGCUCCUGCAACACCAAAAAGUAACGAAUGAAGAAAUAUUCAUACUCUCAGCAACACCAAAAAGUAACCAAUCAAGAAAUAUUCAUACUCUUAGCAGUGAAAGAAAUAUUGUAAACAAAGAAUUAUGAUAGAUAUCACCAUAUAAAAACGCUAUGAUGCGAAGAAAGUUAUUAGAUUUGACAGACCGUGCUGCAGAAAAACAUGUUCAAAAUUCAAUUUGUUAAAAGCCCAUAAAUCAAGUUAAUAAAUGACUCAUUGAAGAAACAUCAUCUAUCUAUCGGAUGUUGUUCCUCGUUCUUGUCCAUUGAAUCAAGUGUUCUAGAUAUCUAGAGUUCCGAGUUCCCUGCUUGCAGUACAACGGAUUAAAGGUCUUCAAUUAUCAAAUGAAGUUAUUUUGAAAAAUAACACAAAGAUUGAAUAAAUGAAAUUUCUAGAGAUCACCAGAAAAAUACUAAAGGCUCCAUACUCUGAAGUAGGUUAUUAUUUAAACAAACCAGGCUGCUGAAAAAGCAUGUUCGCAGUUCAAUUAUUUUGACAAACCAUGCUGCAGAAAAGCAUUUUCAAAAUCAAUUUGUAUGUCUUGUAAUCAAAGUCAGAUUUUAAACAAAAUUAACAAAAUCAAUAAAGAUUUAAACAAAAAGGAUUUACUACCUUUGAUAUUUAUGAAGUAAGGAGAAAAAUUUGAGGUUCUAUGCUAUGAAGGAGGUUAAUAUUUUGACAAAACCAAGCUGAAAAAGAAAGUCAUUGAUUCAAUUUUGCUGUCUUGCAUUAAAAUUAAUAAAUAAUCACCAAAAUCAAAACCUCACAAAGAAGCGUGUUUUCAUAGAUAUUUCUCCUGAAACACCAAAGAGACCAAAUCAAAAAAUAUCAACUGAUUCAAUGUAAUACAUAAAUAACAAUGAAGAAAUUUUGAAAACAAAUAAUUUAACAGACAUCACCAAAUCAAAUCCAUGCUUUAGUUUGCAAACCACCCACCACGCUGCAGAAUAAUUAAGAUGUUCAAUAUUCAAUUGUAUGUUUUCCAAUCAAAUUAAAAUAAUUAAGAACCACUAUUAAUUAAAGAAAUUUAAUUUAUCUAGCUGGGGCCUUUCUUGUGCCUUGUAUCAAGAUGUUUCACUGCAAAACUGAUAAACGAUCUCUCGAUUAUCAAAUGAAGAAUUAAUUAUAUAUGAAUUUUAAGAAAUUUUUAUGUAAAAGAAUAAGGGCUCGUGUAAGUAGGAAACAGAAAAUAUCUAUUCUAGUUCUAUCAUCAGCUAUGGGUUCGAAUUUAAGCGAAAUUCUUGAGAACGUUUGCUACCCCGAAAUUUUUAUAUCUUUCCUCAAUGAAAAGGAGGAAAAAAAAAUAGGGUCAAAAGAAAAUGCCAUUUUGGAGUUUUAUCGACAAUUUGCUUGUGUAGGCGGAGAUCCCAUAUUUCCGGAAUCUUUAUGUACGGAAUUACAAAAAAAAAAAUUUCAACAAAGAUGUGAAUUGGGAGGGAUUGGUUUGCAACAAAAGGGACAGAAUUUUCUCAAUUCACAUCGAUUGGGUGUAUUGUGUCGAUUCUUUUGAGUAAUAUAUCUAGAAAUACCCCUAGAUAUGUGAUUGUGUGAAAUUCUGUUGAAAGUAUAUCUUAACAAUCACUGAAUUUAAGCAAUAACAGAUCAAAGAAUCAAGAAACUAGAACACCAAAUCAAGAAAUCAUAAUUGCAUUCUUUAAAUCGACAUAGAAAAAAAAGAUUUACUAGAUAUCACCAAAUCAAAUCUAGAAGCUCCAUGCUAUGAAUAACGUUAUACUCUGACAAACCACGCUGCAGAAAAACAUGUUCAUGAAUAAGAUAUAUUCAUACUCGAGUAGUUAAAGAAAUAUUGAAAACAAAAAGAUUAUGAUAGAUAUCACCAAAUAAAUAUGCCAUGCUCUGCUGUGAAGGAAGUUAACAGUUUGACAGACAGUGCUGCAAAAAAACAUGUUCAAAUUCAAUUCCCGGAGCGAUAAGAACGAAAGGGUUGUGUGGCCACAGCUACAACACUCUUGAUACGAAAGAAACCAUCAUAAAUUAAAUUGAUAAAGGACUCGUUCAAGAAAAAUCAUUUAUCUAUCAAGAGCCGUUCCCCGUUACAUUACGUCUCCUAGAUUUCAAGACUUGAUCUUCGAUUAUCAAAGUAAGAGUUAUAUCGAAAAAUAAUACUCGUUAACUAAUCGUAAAAGAAGAGUCAAGAAAAGUAUGAGAGAGUGUGAAAUAUAUGCUCUCGGGCAUUGAACGGACGAAUUUACUAGAUAGAGAUCACCAGAAAAUUCUCAAGCUUCCAUACUCAGGAGGUUAUUACUUAGACAAACCAAGCUGCAGAAAAAGCAAGUUCACAGUUCAAUUCUUCUCAUAAUCUAAAACUUGAAAUUGAAAACAAUAAAGAAUGAAUCAUUGAAGAAAUUCGAUUCAUCUAUUUGAAGCAAUUCUCCGUUCAUAUCCGUUGUGUCAAGAAUCACAAAAUGUUCACAGUUUUUCGGAAUUCCGCCACCUGCUGCAAAUUAAACAUAUAUCUCCGUUAUCUACUUAUGAAGAACUAGAACCAAUAGUUCGAAAAUAAACAUAAUUUUUGAAAAAAACGAUCCAUAAAAGAAGAGUAGAGAGAACUGUGAAAUUCUUGAUAUCUAUAUUCCAAAAAAGCAUAUCAAAACACCAAUCAAUAAAGAUCUCAUUGAUAGAAGAAGAUCAAAGACCCAAGCGAAAAGAUAAACUGCAGACUCCUUAUGCUUUAUACUCAUGUUCCUGAUACAAAAACAUAAAAACUGCAACACUAUCCGAGCACACCAUCAGAGCACAACUAUCCCAUCCCAACACAAAAUGAAACCAGUUUUAUUAAUACCAAGGUUGAAUGAAAAGUAGGAUGUAUGACCAGUUUUAUUAAUACCAAGGUUGAAUGAAAAGUAGGAUGUAUGACCAUCAAAGCAGUCACAAUUUCUCCAGAAUUGUGUAAACUAUCACGGUCAGAAUACAUCAAAAACCUGAAUGUAAGGAAUCAGAGUAUGAUGGUGUAAGAAAACCUAAGGCUGAACUUCUCAGAUAUAAACAAGAGGAAGAUCAAUAGAACCAGAAUAUGUUUAAAAAAGAUCACUUCUCCUGCAACACGGAAGAAUAAACAACAAAUAAAGAAAUAUAUAUGUCGAUAAAACAAAUUUUUAAAAUGAAAAGAAUUAAAUAGUUAUCACCAUAUCAAAAUGCUAGGUUCCAUGCCAUGAAGCAGAUUAUUAGUGUGACAAACCAUGCUGCAGGAAAACAUGUUCAAAAUUCAUUUCGUAUGUCAUGCAAUUGAAGCCCAGAAAUUAAAAUAAUAAAGAAUGGCUCAAUGAAGAAAUUUGAUUUUUAUCUGCUGUUGUUCUUUUCCGGUGUAUGAAACGUUCUAGAUAAUGAAGAUUUCACAGACUGCAAGAUGGAUAAAUGCAUCGCCAGGUUAUCAAAUGAAGAAUUAUAUCCCAAACAAGUUUUGAUAACCAAUCCAUAAAAGAAGAGACAAGAUAAGUGUUAAAAUUCAUGAUAUCUACAAUCUGAGGGGAACAUAUUAAUAAGCAAACAAUAUGGCCAACUAGUUAAAAAAUCAAGUAACAAAAGAAGGUAUGAACAAGAAUAAACAAACAAACUUCAUAAUCAAGAAAUCAAAAGCAUAUCUUCUCAUGUAACACCAUCAAGAAAUCAAAAUCAUAUCCUCUUAAUACCAAAAAGUAAAUUAACAAUUUAACAAUUCAAGAAACAUUUGUUCUUAGAAUCAAGAAUGUAAGAUUGAAACAAAAAGGAUUUACUAGAUAUCACCAAAUCAAAACUUCAGGCUCUAUGCUGUGAAGGAUAUUAUUAUUUUGACAAACCAUACUGCUGUCUAAACCAACAAAAACAAAUAAUCAACCAGACAAAUCAUGAAACCGAAAGAAUCAAUCAAAAAUGAAUUAACAGUGCAAAACAUGAAGACCAAACAAGAGGAAGAUACAUACAACCAGAAGAAAUCGUAUGUUACAAAAUUACUUUUCCUGCAAGACCAACGAGGGUAAAAAACAGGUCAAGAAAUACAUGAUGAAAUACAUGAUCUCAGAGACGAUAAAGAAUUUUUAAAAAUGAAAAGAAUUUAAUACAUAUAACCAGAAGAAAUCGUAUGUUACAAAAUUACUUUUCCUGCAAGACCUAAGAGGGUAAAAACAGGUCAAGAAAUACAUGAUCUCAAGAGACAAUAAAGAAUUUUAAAAAAUGAAAAGAAUUUAAUACAGAUCACCAAAUCAAAACGCUAGGCUCCAUGCAUCAUUGAAGAAAUUUGAUUUAUCAAUGUGAAGCCAUUCUCUGUACAUAUCCAUUGAGUCAAGAAUCGCAAAAUGUUUAGUUUCUCAAAAUUCCACUUCCAGCAUAAUGGUUAAAUGCAUAUCUCAAGUAUCUAACAUGAUGAUCUCGAUUAUGAAGAACUACAACCAAUAGUUUGAAAAUAAACAUAUCACAACGAUCCAUAUAGGAGUAGAGAGAAUCGUGAAAUCCUUGAUAUUCUAAAAUCUAAUAAAGCAUAUCAAAAUGCCACAACAUAAAGAUCUCCUUGAUAGAAGCAAAUCAAAGACCCAAUCAAAAAGAUAAAGUCCAGACUCACAUUCCUGAUACAAAAACAUGAAACUGUACCACUAGCAGGGCACACAAUCAGAGCAUAACUAUCCCAUCCCAACACAAAUUAACAUGCAAGGGAAAAAACAACCAUUUUUACUUAUCCCUGGGCUGAACGAAGAGUAAGAUGUAUGGCCAGGUUUAUUCCAAGUCUAAUCAGAAGUAUAAAAACCUACAUGAAGAGUAAGAGGAAAGCCCAUCAUAGAAAGAGUAAAUAACAAAAAAAGUAAUGACUAGAAGUAGAAGACUGCUGGCCUGAGAAGGCGGCCUCUGAUAGAACCAGAGUAUGUUUACAGUUCACUUCUCCUGCAACACGAAAGAGUAAAUAAAAAAUAAAGAAAUGUAUGAUGACGAUAAAAGAAAUUUUCAAAAUGAAAAGAAUCUAAUGGAAAUCACCAAAUCAAAAUGAAAACAACAUGUUAAAAAUUCAAUCCGUAUGUCUUGCAAUUGAAGCCCAGAAAUUAAAUUAAUAAAGAAUGGAUCAUUGAAGAAAUUGAUUUUUAUCUAUCUGGAGCUGUCGUUCUUGUCCGGUGUAUAAAAACAUUCUAGAUAUCAAGACUUCACAGCUAUGGAUAAAUGCAUCGCCAGAUUAUCAAAUUAAGAAUUAUAUCCCAAAAAUUAUAGAAACAAGUUAUGAUAAUCAAUCAGUAAAAGGAAGAGUCAGCAGAUGUGUUAAAAUUCAUGAUAUCUACAACCCAGUGCUACGCUCCAUGCAUCAAGCAGGUUUUUAGUGUAACAAACCACGCUGCAGCAAAACAUGUUGAAAAUUCAAUUUGCAUCUCUUGCAGUAAAAACCCAGAAAUAAAUGUAACAAAGAACGAAUCAUUGAAUAAACUGAUUUAUCUAUCUGAAGACAUUCUCCAUUUUUCAUAUGUUGUAUCAAGCCUUUCUAGUUAUCAAGAUUCAAGACUUCUCAGCUCGCUGCAAAACGGCCAAAUGUAUGUCUCGAUUAUAUAACGAAGUUUAUAUCCAAUAAUCCAAAAAUUACAGAAAUAAUUCUUGAUAACGGAUCGUAAAAGAAGAGUGAAAAGAAACAAAUUAAAUAUCGCUUAUAGGAAAACCUGAAAUUAAACAAUCAGGGAGCAAACAAUCUGGCUAAUGGAUCAAGAAAGGAAAGAAAUUAGAAGAAGAUCAAGCAACCUCAUAAGUAUAAUUCGAAAAAUUACACAAAUAAUUCUUUAUAACCAAUGGUAACAACAUAUUCUGGAAAAGUAUGAUAGUGUGAAAUAUAUGCUUCUCAUAUGGAAAUAUUGUAAGAAAAGAAUUUACUAACAAUCACCAUAUCAAUACUCGAGGAUGCAGAAAAACAAUGGCAGGUUAUAUUUUUUGACAAACCAGGCCGCAGAAAAACCAUGGGAGGUUAUUAUUUUGACAAACCAAGCUUCAGAAAAACCACGUUCACAGUUCGAUUCGUCUCAUAGUUAAAGAUCUGGAGAAAUUCAAUUUAUAUCUGAAGCCGUUCUCCGUUCGUAUAUGUUGUGUCAGCAAUCGCAAAACAAUCUGGACUUCCAGACUUCAGCUCGCUGCAAAACGGAUAAAUGCAUGUCUCGAUUAUCCAAUUAUGAACAACCAUAUCCAAUAAACCAAAAAAAUAAACAAACAACAAUUCUUGAAAAACCAAUCCAUGAAAAAAGAGCCAGGAGAACUGUGACAUUCGUGAUAGAAGCAUAUCAAAAUACAAGUCCAAAAUGAACUCCUUGAUAGAAGCAGCACAAAGACUCCAGAAACAAGAACAUAAUAACUGCAACUCUAACAGAGCACAGAUACAGAUGUAGGCAAAAAAUGACCAGUUUUAUUCAUCCGAAGGCUGAACGGAAAGUAAGCGAACCUCUCUGCAUGCCACACAAUUAUAGGCUUACUCCCCUUGUAACACAGAGAAAACUCAAAGGAUCUGACAAAAGUGGAUGACAGCCUGUAGACAGUAGACAGUAUAUGACAAUGACAGCCUGUAGAAAGAUAAUGAUUCAUUGGAACAAUUUUGCAAGAUCGUCAUGCAACCACAUGAAAGACAAUUUAGCUUUCUACUAAUACAGAGAAGUCCCUACACAACAUAAUGAAGAGGAUAUCUUUUAAGGAGGAUCAUCAUCAUAAUAAAUAAACAAUAUCAAAACAGUAAAAGAAGACUAUAGACAGACUCUCCCAUCAAAGUUAUGUCAUCACCAACAUACCAAAAACACACAAAAACUUGAACACAGAAAGAAACACAAAAUCAUGAACACCAGCUUCUACACAAUUAGGACAACAAUUCAGAAACAAAAACAUAUACGUAUGUAAAAGAUAACCAAUUAUAUCCCAAGGACGAAUGAGAAGGUCUGGGCCAAUCAAAUUCAAGCUUGUGAGAAGAGUCAUGAAGCACGAAAGCAUAAAUAAUGCUCACAUCUAAAUUAGAUCGCCAAAUUAAGCCUCACAGAGAUUGAGAAUUUAACUUGUUAUUCAUGUAAUUAGUUGCAGAAGAUAAAUAGUACAGAGCAGAAGCACUCAUCUCCAAUUUCUCAACUUCAGACAGCAAAAUAAACAAGGUACAGUGUAGUAGAGAAAAGGAGACUACUGUUGAACACUUACCCUGUAACAGCACAAAGUUGUCCAAACCAAGCUGCUAAUCCGCAGAUCAUAGUUACGAAGUAAACCCCACAAAGUUGUCUCAAUUUCUCAGAAUUGUGUAACCACUACUCCGUCACAUUACAUGUGAAAAACAUAAAUGUAAUAAAACAGUAGUUUGAUGGAGUAGUGUAACAGAUAGUUGCAAAAUAAAAGAGAAGAUUAGCAUAAUUCUCCAAACCAAGCCGCUGAACAAAAGAUCAUAGUUACAAGAGAGCCCCUCACAAGCUGUCCCAUUUCUCCAGAAAAAUAUGUAAACUAUCACACUAUCAGAUUACAUGCCAAAUACCUAUAUGUAAGAAAACAGUAGUGAUUGAGAAAGAUACACAAAAACAUGUAACAAUUACCCAGUCCAAAUGACACAAACGGGCAACCCGUGCACUAAAGCUCCUUCAUACGCAGGGUUCGGGAAAGGGUCCCACCAUUAUUGGUGUAUUGUACGCUGCCUUAACCUGUUUUUUACACAAGAGGCUGCUUCCAGGACUUGAACACCAAAUAACACAUGCACAAAAAUAUUACACUGUACCACCUAAUUAUAGAAAAAACCAAGUAAGAGAAACAAGAGUAGUAUUAACCAAGUAGUAUUAAAUAACACAUGCACAAAUGAAGCCACUGAUAAAAAGAUCAUAUUUACAAAAACACAUAAAUAACUUACUUAAUUUCUCCAGAUUUGUGUAAACUCAAUUUACAGGUCAGAAAUCUAAAUGUAAGAUAACAGUAGUAUUAAGCAGUCCGCGAACCGUAAGGUUGAACUUCUCAGUAUAAGGGAGUAAAACAAGACUGAACGAUAAAUUUGAGGAUAAUGAAUACUGAACUCAUCUCUCACCCCACUUAAACAGACUUAUCUCUCGCGUGUAACACCCAAGUGACAUAAAGGAGUAAGUCAAAAUGACAGGAUAGUAGAACUUUACAGAGAAUUAAUGAGAUAAAAACUAUUCACAACCAAGAAGAGUGUAUCAAAAUACACCUGAUUGCUUGGUGCUACACAGAACAGUCUCAAAACACACAGCACUGCAGAAAACAGAAAAUGUUUCAAUUCACAAUUUAGUAUAAUCAUGUAGUUUCACAAAACAUUACUACCAUUAUCUAAAACUCAAUCGGCAACAUCUCAAGAGAAAAUUCACAUAUGAACUCAAGGCUCCAUGCUAUGAAAAAAUAACUUCAAUAAUUACGCCGUAUGCCUCUUCCAUCAUAUCACUUGGCUCUAAAAAGAAGACAGAUAAUGGAAAGGAGGAUGAGGGAGGAUAUAAGAGAAGUGUGAGACAAUGGAUAAUGGUAAAAAUUCAUUAAGUUUAAUGAUAUUUUUGUCAAUUCAAGUGUAAAGACGCCAGCUAAUUAUUUUCCUUUGAUUGUGAAAAAUGUUACAAUUCUUUUGCUAGUUUUAAUUUCAAAGAUACAAAGAUUUAAUUGUAAUAUUUUACACUACACUGUUAAAUGGUGAAUAUUAUCAUUUUUUUUUUAUGAACAAGCGUGAAUAUUAUAUCUAUUGUGAUUUCUGAAUAGAAGUUUUAAUCUAACCUUAAUGAAGUUUUAAUAUCAUUGAGUAAUUUCCAAAUAGAAAAUUAUCAAAGUGAUCUGGUACACAUGCUUAUAUAGAUCAACGGUGUUAAUUAAAAAAUACAUUGAUAAAAUUGUAAUUUUUUACACUACACGUUGUCCUUGCUCGUUAGAAGUUUAAACUUAACCUUACUGAAGGUAUCAGAGUGAUUUCCAAAAAAAAAAAUGAUAAAAGUCAUCUGGUACAAAAUUGAUCAUUAGAACAUCAUAAAAGAUAAUUGAAAAUAACAAAAUUGAUCAUUAGAACAUCAUAAACAUUUGCUUAGUUAUGUCCCUAACACCAUGUUCAAUUUCUACUCUAGUUAACACUGGCAGGUCAAACAACAAAGAGAUAACUUUCAAAAUACAUUAAGCAUUCCUAAGCUAGAAGCAGGCCUGCUUUGUGAACUAAGGAGGAACAAUAAACUCUGCACACUUGGUAUAUUCCAUUAUUGUGGUUGUUCUUAACAAAAAGAAUGCAGGACACGCCAUUAGAAGUAAGAAAUAGCUGGUCUAUCUAUAUUUGCAAUGAACGGGAUAAAAUACAAAGAACCAAUCCAAGCAGAAAGCACAAAGUAUGUAUAACCAAGUAGAAAUCACCUUGAAGCCCGGUGCACUCAGAAAUAUCAACUUAGGAGAACCGAUUUAUUCUUAUGCACAUCGUCAAAUGAUAAACAGUAUAGAAAAGCUCCCCAGAUAAAGACCGCCAUCAGGACAAUCCACCCAAGCUGUCCAAAACAGACUACAGGCAGGCCAAACCAUAAGAGAAUAACUACUCCACCAACAAAGAUACAAAUUUGGGACAGAAGAUUCUUAUAAAACUACAAAAGAUGGCAGACUACCAGAGUAUAACACCAAACCAAGCUGUCCAGAAUUUCAUAUCCUCGUUGCGGACAAAAUCAUAUACUCUAGAAUCUUGUAUGCUUCAGUAUUCAUUCUCCUGAUGCGAAAACACAUAUCCAGCACUAGCAUUAGACAUAUCAAAGGAAAAAUAUCCCUAAUGAUGUAACAUAAACAAACACACGGAUAUGUAAAAAAUUACUGAUCAUAUCACACGGCCGGUUUCCACAGGUCACGGCACACCAUACAUUCAUAGUCGGUCUCCCUUGUAACGCCCUCAAUAUCAAUAGAAAUAUUGAAAAUAAAAAUAGAUUCACAAUCCAAUCUGCAUGUCAUAAGAACAAAUCCCAAAUCUUAGUAAUUUUGAUAUAUCUGGACUCGAGUAUUUCCAAACAUUUUAGAUAUCCAAGCUGACAGAAUCAUAAAUAUUGCCGAAGCUCUCCUAAUAUCUAGAUUCAUAUUUCUAAACAUUGGCACAUCACAAUGUCAAAGGACACCUAUUCCAGAACAAGUACAUUCAAGGCAAGAAAAUGACCAGUGAAAUCCAAGGGUCUGCAUGUUCGUAAUAUUAAGGUUAGCUGCAGCUUUAAAAUCACAGUACAGCAUCUCCCCUGUAACACGAGCUAAGAAAAUUUCACAACAAAAAACCCCAUUUACAGACACAGGGAGUCGGGGUAGGAAUGAGAAAACUAAAUCCACAAAAAGACAAGGAAAACGUGAAGAAGAAAUCUAACUGUCAAAGUAGAAAUAACGAAAUGAAAGCUUAACAACGGCAGCCAAUUGCAGAUUCUGGUGCUCCAUUAAGCUCCCCCCUAAACCAAGUCCUUGCUCCAAUUGCAGAAUCUGUGAGGCAUAACCUUUUUGGAGAGAAGAUUCUUAUCCUCAUGUAUAUAUACCACAAACCGCAGGAAAAUAGAAAACGAAUUAUGAUAGAGGAAGAGACAAAUCAACAAUUAAAGUGCCAAACCAGUCCAGAAUUCUUAUAUGCUUCAUACUCUCAUGAGACAGAACCACAAAAACUCAGACACUUGCAAGAAACCAUCAGAGGACCUGCUAUCCCAAAUCCCAAUAUAAAAACACGGCUAGAAAAUUACCAGUUUUAUCUCAAGGCUGAACAGAACCUUGCUUCGUGCACAUUUAUAGGAUUUUCCUCUAACACUCACAGAAAACUCAAAAAGUAGAUGCUGAUUAUCAAACUAUAGGGAGUAUAUGAAACAGCCUGCAGAGGACGUUGAAUCAGGGUGUGCAAAAAUAAACCUGUACACUUUAAUAAUACACAGACUGGUUAUUUUAAGAUAUAUUAUGCUCCAGAAAACAGGUUUUAAUUCACAAUCCACCAGAAAUGAAUAUCAUGUAUGGAGCUCUGCAAAACAUCACCGUUUUAUGAAACUCAACUGGCAACAUCCAAAACAGAAAAUUCAUAGCAGAACUCCAGUCAUCUUUCCAAGUUCAGCAAAACAUUACUAUUUCCUAUUACUCAAAUAGCAAUACCAUAAAUGCAAAACAACAUCUGUCUACCAAGAAUAAUGUUAGUUGUAACAGGAAUUCAAGAACAAUCAAAAUUGGACUGCAAAAGUUAAAGAUAACGAAUAAUUAAUCACAAAGAAUAAGAAUACUUCACAUGAGGAUCAAACAAGAGAAUGUCACAGAUUAUUGCUCCUGCAACACCAGAGAGCAACGAAUCAAGAAAUAUUCAUACUCUCAGCAACACCAAAAAGUAACCAAUCAAGAAAUAUUCAUACUCUUAGCAGUGAAAGAAAUAUCAUAAAAAAACAGAUUAUGAUAAUAUCACCAUAUAAAAACCCUAUGAUGCGAAGAAAGUUAUUAGAUUUGACAGACCGUGCUGCAGAAAAACAUGUUCAAAAUUCAAUUUGUUCAUAGCCCAGAAAUCAAGUUAAUAAAGGACUCAUUAUCAUUUAUCUUUCAAACACCGUUCCCCCGUUCCUGUCCGUUGAAUCAAGUGUUAUAGAUAUCAAGACUUCCCUGCUCGCAGUACAACGGAUAAACGGAUCUUCUUCUUUUUUUUUUUUUUUUUUUUGAAGUGAAACAUACUUUCAAAAAAACAAAGCUGGAACACAGCCAUCAAACCCACAAUGAUUAUUUCGAUUAUCAACGGAUCUUCAAUUAUCAAAUGAAGAGUUAAAUUGAAAAAUAACACAAAGAUUGAAUAGAUGAAUUUUCUAGAGAUCACCGGGAAAAUACUCAAGGCUCCAUACUACGAAGGAGGUUAUUAUUUAGACAAACCAGGAUGCAGAAAAAGCAUGUUCGCAGUUCAUUUAUUUCGACAAACCACGCUGCAGAAAAGCAUUUUCAAAAUCAAUUUGUAUGUCUUGUAAUCAAAGUCAGAUUAUAAACAAUAAAAAUGGCUCAUUGAAGAAAUUUGAUUUAUCUUGAACCAUUCCCCGUACUUAUAUCUUUGAACCAAGAAUAUGUUGACCUCAGCUGCAAAAUCAAUAAAGAUUUAAACAAAAAGGAUUCACUAUCUUUCAUAUUUAUGAACCAAGGAGAAAAGGUUCUAUGCUAUGUAGGAGGUUAAUUUUUGACAAAACCAAGCUGAAAAAGGAAGUCAUUGAUGUCUUGCAUUAAAAUUAAUAAACAAUAAUCACCAAAAUCAAAACCUCAUAAACAUGAAANAAACAAUGAUCACCAAAAUCAAAACCUCAUAAACAUGAAACCAGAAAGGAAAAAGAAUACAAAACAUGAAGAUCAAAUAAGAGCAAGAAAGAAAGAACCAGAAGAAAUCGUGUUUUCAUAGAUAUUUCUCCUGAAACACCAAAAAGAUCACCAAAUCAAAAAAUCAACUGAAACUGAUUUAAUAAUACAUAAAAAACAAUGAAGAAAUUUUGAAAACAAAAAUAAUUUAACAGACAUCACCAAAUCAAAUCCAUGCUUAGUUUGCAAACUACCCACCACGCUGCAGAAUAAUUAAGAAUAUGUUCAAUAUUCAAAUUGUAUGCUUUCCAAUCAAAUUAAAAUAAUUAAUUAUCAACUAAAGAAAUUUGAUUUAUCUAACUGGAGCCUUUCUUGUACCUUGUAUCAAGAGGUUUCACUGCAAAACCGAUAAAUGAUCUCUCGAUUAUCAAAAUGAAUAAUUAAUUAUAUAAAAAAUUUAAGAAUUUUAAGAAAUUUUUAUGUAAAAGAAGAGUCGAGAGAAGUGUGAUUGUGUGAAAAUGUUGGAAAGUAUAUCUUAACAAUCACUGAAAUUAAGUAAUCACAGAUCAAAGAAACAAGAAAGUAAAACACCAAAUCAAGCAUUCUCUGAAUUGACAUAGAAAGAUAGAACCAAAAAGAUUUACUAGAUAUCACCAAAUCAAAUCUAGAGGCUCCAUGCUAUGAAUAAAGAACAUUUUUAAUACUCUGACAAACCACGCUGCAGAAAUGGAUAAAGGACUCAUUGAAGAAAAAUAAUUAUCUAUCAAGAGCAGUACAACGGAUAAAUGGAUCUUCGAUUAUCAAAGAAGAGUUAUAUCGAAAAAUAAUACUCAUUAACUAAUCGUAAAAGAAGAUUCAAGAAAAGUACGAGAGUGUGAAAUAUAUCCUCUCAGAAGCAUUGAACGGAAAAUUUACUAGAUAGAGAUCACCAGAAAAUUCUCAAGCCUCCAUACUCAGGAGGUUAAUAAUUAGACAAACCAAGCUGCAGAAAAAGCAAGAUCACGGUUCAAUUCUUCUCAUAAUCUAAAACUUGAAAUUAAAAACAAUAAAGAAUGAAUCAUUGAAGAAAUUCGAUUUAUCUAUUUGAAGCCAAUCUCCAUUCAUAUCCGUUGUGUAAAGAAUCACAAAAUGUUUAUAGUUUUUCCGGAUUCCGCCACCUGCUGCAAAUUAAACAUAUAUCUCCAUUAUCUACUUAUGAUAGAAGAAGAUCAAAAGACCCAAGCGAAAAGAUAAACUGCAGACUCCUGAUACAACAUUAUAAAAACUGCAACACUAUCCCAUCACACCAUCAGAGCACAACUAUCCCAUCACACCAUCAGAGCACAACUAUCCCAUCCCAACACAAAAUGAAACCAGUUUUAUUACCAAGGUUGAGUGAAAAGUAGGAUGUAUGACCAGCUUUAUUCCAAGUCUGAACGGAAGUAAUAAACCUAAAUGACAGAUUACAUCAAAGCAGUCACAAUUUCUCCAGAAUUGUGUAAACUAU
rnacentral:lncRNA from 1 species